CCAAUAGCGUAUAUUAAAGUUGCUGCAGUUAAAAAGCUCGUAGUUGAAUUUCGGGACCGAUAUAUCGGUCGUGCCUCGGUACGUACUGGUAUUUUCGGUUUCUCCCUUCUGACGAACCUUGAUGUCAUUAAUUUGGUGUCUUGGGGAAUCAGGACUGUUACUUUGAAAAAAUUAGAGGGUUUAAAGCAGGCUCACGCUUGAAUACAUUAGCAUGGAAUAAUGAAAUAGGACGUUUGAUUCUAUUUUGUUGGUUUCUAGGAUCGACGUAAUGAUUAAUAGGGAUAGUUGGGGGCAUUAGUAUUCAAUUGUCAGAGGUGAAAUUCUUGGAUUUAUUGAAGACUAACUACUGCGAAAGCAUUUGCCAAGGAUGUUUUCAUUAAUCAAGAACGAAAGUUAGGGGAUCGAAGACGAUCAGAUACCGUCGUAGUCUUAACCAUAAACUAUGCCGACUAGGGAUCGGAUGAUGUUAAUUUUUUAAUGACUCAUUCGGCGCCUUACG
rnacentral:rRNA from 1 species